GGGGCUUUCUUUGGUGAUUUUUUUCACCAAUUCUUCUAUAUAAGGUGUGUUCCCUUUCCUCAUUGUUAGUUUCAACUAAAGGAAUGGUUUUCAUUAUUGGUUUUCAUGAUUUCAUUAUUGUGUUAUUUGGAUUUUCAAAUAUAAUUUGGGGGUUUUAUUUAUAAAUACUUGGUUAUGGUUUCCCAUGGUUUUAAUUAUUCUUUUAUAUGCGUUAAUGGU
rnacentral:lncRNA from 1 species